CAAUCUUGAUCUCCUUGGCUGUUUGCGUUUCUCAAUUUUCAUCCGUUUUCAUUCUAGGAGAAAUGUUUCUCUCUCUUUAACGUUUGAGUUUCUCCCUGUGCUCCGUUUCAGGCUCUUUUCCUUCCCCUUCCCAUUCGAGGAUAUUCCAAAACGCUCUAAGUCUACAACGUCAAAGAGAGAAAUCGAGAGAGAGAGAGGGGAUGAGAUUGGAGGCGACGUGGAAGACUCGGAGGAGGUUCGUAGGUUGUGGUGUUGCUGCGGCGCAUUACCCUGCCUUGCGUUCAGUUCGGUUGCACGCACCAUGUUUGUCGUCGCCCAUUAAGGAAUAAAUGGUUCAUAAAUUGAAGAGAAGCGAAAGCCGCAAAAUAGGGAUACUCUGCUCAUCCUCUGGUGCUCACAAAGUGCAAAUCGGUACCGAUGUGAAGUGUUAACAUCACAUAAAAUUGAUCCUGAGUGUGUGUGCAGCAAUAGUUUUAGUCUGCAAGAACAGAGAAAGGGUUUCAGAUCGACGAGAGGGUUUAACAUGGACCUGCAUCGCCAUUGACACUUUGUAUACCCUGAUGUUGUGAUUUUGUUCAUUCGGCGAAUAACUACUAUGGAAUUGCUCAAACAGUAUAACCAGUUCAGACAAGAGAAAAAAAAAAGGAGAGCAAGAAGAACAAGUAAGGUUUGCAGGUUCAAGAUAUCGGUGAGGGGAAGGAGUUAUGGCGCGCACUUGGUAGAAAAGCUUUCGCGAAAGGAGGAGGUUUCAGUGUUGUUACCACUUGCUAUUUAACCUCUUCCAGCAUUGAUUGCCAUUUUGAACUAUACUUAUCUUGAAGCAUAGAGGUGAGAAAAUAUAUAUGGGGCCUUUAGGAUGGCAGUGUUCUCAUCUGAUCAAUUACUUGGAGGUGAUGGAAUUUCUCAAGUCCCUUGAGGUAUGACAGUCACUUUAGAAGGGGUGGAAAAUCAGAAGACCAGAUUCCAAUGGCUUGCCAGGGUGCUGUAGCAAUUUUGAUUAUGUUUGAUCUAACAAGUUGAUGCACAUUAAACAGGUUGAGCUAUAACUAUUUGAUGACUAUCAGAACAUAUUCUAUUGAAUAAGAAUUUGGAAGAAAUAGCUACAGGGAUACCAGAGAAUUUAUAAAAGCAUUUCAUGAUUAGCUUUGUCUUGAGUAAGUGAUAGCUUACGUUUCUUUCUGGACCAAAUGAUGAUUAUUAAGGGAACAUGAAUUACUUCAUUUUUGUCUAUGUGGUUGUUGAGAUAAUGUUCCACACUAUUUAGCACCAAUUACUUUGCGUAGGCUGUUAGAAAUGUUGAUAGAGAAUGAGACCUGAACUACUUCUCACACCAGGUUGAAAGUAGAAGAAAGAUUUUGUUGUUUUCUUAGCCAAAACCUGUUCAGUAAUUUAUUCACCAAAAGAACUUUGCUAUGUAAUACUCUGCAUCAUCUUGCAGUACAGCCAUUGAAACCAUUUUUUUAAACCAAAACUUAUUGCAUAGUUUUUCAAUAUACAGCCAGAGAGUACAAUUGGUUGUUCACUUCAGAAGUUCUUUUUCCUCUUUAAAAUCUUAUUUAAUAUGUGAACCCAUCUUCCAUGUUUCUGAGGCUUCUUUGGAACAUAAUAUAGUUGGAGACAAUUUAUACUUUAGAAACAUAUUUUAUUCAUGUUAAGUUCAGUGGAUCCAGACUCAAACUUAAUCCACAAAGUGAUUCUUCUUUAGGAGUUCUUAUUCCCAUUUUAACUCUUACCAAAACCAUAACCUAUACUCAUUUGGAAAUCUUAAUCUUAAUAUUCUACAAUUGAGAGAUAUUUACAGCCACUACUGCACCCUGAAUGAUGUCC